rnacentral:misc_RNA from 1 species
UCCGGUUCCUCACCGGCAGUCUCCUUAGAGUCCCCAACUAAAUGAUGGCAACUAAGGACAAGGGUUGCGCUCGUUACGGGACUUAACCCAACAUCUCACAACACGAGCUGACGACAGCCAUGCAGCACCUGUCUCUGCGUUCCUUGCGGCACUCCAAUAUCUCUACUGGAUUCGCAGGAUGUCAAGGGUAGGUAAGGUUCUUCGCGUUGCAUCGAAUUAAACCACAUGCUCCACCGCUUGUGCGGGCCCCCGUCAAUUCCUUUGAGUUUCAACCUUGCGGCCGUACUUCCCAGGCGGAUGACUUAUCGCGUUAGCUUCAAUACUGCUAGGUUCCCCCAGCAACAUUUAGUCAUCAUCGUUUACAGCGUGGACUAC